GUGAACUAAACAAAAGACAAAGUGACUCGUUGACAGUGGUGAAGACAAUCAACCAAGUAUCUAGGGGCUUCUCUCCAGCUUACAUUGUGUAUGAUGACAUUAAAAAGUUUUCUAAUUUCUUUCCUCCGUUUGUUUUUUCUCAUGUGAAAAGCGCCAGUAAUACCGUUGCCCACUUAAUUGCGAGAUGGGUACUAACGGUAACUUGAAACGUCUUUGUAUGAACUCCUUUCUCCAGAACUUGAUUUAAUUUAAUUUAAUUUUCGGCUUACUUUUGUUCUAAAAAAACCAAAAGACGAUUUGUUAAAACAAAGAAAAAAAAUGAAAAAAAAAAACAAUGAACAAGUUAAAUUGUCCUUCUUCUAUUAACUCUUCUCCAUCAACAGCAGCAGACUGCAGAGCUGUGUUCAAAAUUUGCCUGUUUUCUCCCCUUCAUGAAAAUGAAAAAGUGAUAAAAAAAAGAGCAUAUGCAUCCUGGGAUAGCUUCUCUCAUUAUCCGGUUUGGCAAGG